GCUGGGUGUGGUGGCAUACACCUAUAGUCCUGGCUACUCAGGAGGCUGAGGUGGGAGAAUCACUUGAGCCCGGGAGUUUGAGGCUGCAGUGAGUUAUGAUUGCACCACUGCACUCCAACCUGGGCAACAGAGUGAGACCCUGUCUCUA
rnacentral:SRP_RNA from 1 species